rnacentral:misc_RNA from 1 species
GAUCAGGUAGCAACCAGAGCAGGAUCAGCCAUGUUUAGGACACGCAUACCAGGCAGUUAGAGAUUGUGUUAUUUCUUGUUAACAAGAAAUGCCAUGGAUCCUCAUUCUGAUGCCCAGGAUGUGCCCCGAUGUGACCUUUGUGAGACCGCCAUAGUACACAACUACUGUGACUUUUGUCAUGUCAACCUAUGCACGUCAUGUAUAGGCAAACACAUCUCAGAUGGAUAUGACAAACAUAAAAUAGUCCCAUUCCAGGAACGAAGAUCAACCCUUAUUUAUCCGAAAUGUGGAAUACAUCAAAACAAAACUUGUGAAUUACAGUGCAAAGAUUGUAACAUUUCAGUAUGCUCCACCUGUACUGCAUCAAACCGGCACAAGGGACAUAACUUUGUAGAAGUUACAGAAGUUUACAAUGAAAAGAAAGAAAUUAUUAAGAAAGACACAAAAGAGUUGGAGAAUCUUUUUUCUCCUACGUAUGAAGAAAUUGCUCGAGACUUGGAAAAACAGCUCGCCAACCUGGAUGGAGGAUAUGAGAAACUUACAACAACACUAUCUAAACAAGGAGAGCAAUGGCACAGAGAUAUCGAUUUCGUUAUCAACAAAAUGAAAUCCGAAAUCGACGAGAUAAAAGUAAAACACAGGGACAUUUUAAGGAAACAUUUGGAUGAAAUAAAACAGAUACAGUCUCUCAUAAAACAAACAUUUCUGGCUUUGAGGAAAAUUGAGAAGUCCACUGAUAUAUCUUCUACCAAUGAAUACAGCUCUAAGAUCAGAGAGUUCCGAAAAUUUCCACCCAAGGUUCAGGUAACCCUUCCAACAUUCAUUCCAAAACCAAUAGACCGAAAGCAGCUCUGUAUAGUUUGUAUGGACAGAUCACCCCAUUAUCUACUUCUACAAAAGAAAAUGUAUUGUCACUAAACCAACCCAACACUUCAGCAAGAGAAUUACUGGAUAAACCGGAACCUGUUGCCACAAUACAGACUGGGUAUGGAGAACUUCGCAGCGUUUCCUGUCUUAAUGAAGACAAGAUAUGGACAAGUGGACUGACUAAUGAUAUCAAAUGCUUUAACAUUAAAGGUGUGUUACUUCAGACAGUCAAACCAACUUUAGGAAUGUUUCCUAGUGAUAUAGCCAUAGACAGUGAUGGGAAUCUUUUGUACACGUUGUGGGAAAAAGGGACAGUUAGCAUAGUAAAGAAUGGACAGACAGAAAUGUUGGUCAGAUUGCAUGGUUGGACACCAUCACAACUGUGUGUCACCUCUACAGGUGAUAUCCUAGUUACCAUGUUCAGUGUUGAUUACACUCAAUCCAAAGUUGUCCGUUACUCGGGAUCUACAGAGAAACAAUCAAUUCAAUAUGACAGAGACGGUAAACCCUUGUACUCAGGGAAUGCACGUAUUAAAUACAUUACUGAAAACAGAAACCAAAACAUAUGUGUAGCUGAUUUAGCGGCUGGUGCUGUAGUGGUGGUGAAUCAUGACGGGAAACUCAAAUGGAGAUACACCGGUCAUCCCUCAGUUACCAAGAACAAACUAUUUCAGCCCCGUGGUAUCACAACAGAUAGUCAGAGGCAUAUCCUGACAUUAGAUUUUUACAACAAAUACAUCCACAUUCUGGAUCAGGAUGGACAGUUUCUCCGUUUCAUCGAUAACUGUGAUCUUCAGGAUCCUUUUGGCUUAUGUGUGGACAAUAACGACAAUCUGUUUGUGUGUGAAUUUACCAAAGGCAAUGUGAAGAAAAUCAAAUAUUUAAGAUAGACAUCACCCAUUCCUAAAAUGUGAUGUUAAAAAGUGACCUUUUCUGACAACAAGCAUAUCCAAUUUCCAUUCUGGAAUUGUCUAUUAAAUAAAUUCUAAAUUGUAGU